rnacentral:lncRNA from 1 species
GGUCAUUCCCGUUUAUACCUAAUUGACAUGCAUUGAUUCACAAUAUUUAUUUACCGCGUGCAUUAACAUGAUGGGUUCCUAUUAAGGACAAUGCCUAGUUUCUCUUGAUCAUACCUUGCAGCCGGGUUGUUUAAUUAAUCUUGAGGGUAGAUUAUGCUUAGCUUGCUCAACUGGGUUGGUAAAUAAACAACAUGGUUAAUUUAUUUAUUUACUCUAUGUUCCUUUAUGUUGAUUUAAUUACAAGACCAUAUAUUUUAAUCGGAACAUGGAGCGACCACCCAGGAAAACAGUACAGCCACAAGGACUAAAUGGCUCUGGUCUUGGCUAACUAAUUAGAGGACUCUAGUGUUGGACUGGUGUUAAGGGGGGCAUGACUCGCGGAACCUCGUGCACUGGAACACACUAGGGAAGUCUUUAUAAAGGCCUCGUAGCGUCCCUAUGCAAUCACACCUCGGAAGUGUGGUAUUGUGCCUACUUUUGCACAGCAUGGUUGGGUCUAAAGUUCACCUGAACUUUUACGCGACUUGUGGGUAAAGAUGUACAACCUCUGCAGAGUGUAAAACUGUUAUAACAGCCGUGCUCACGGUCAAGAGCGGCCUGGACCCUCACAUGAUUAAUUUACUUGAAGAUGAUACUACUGUGUUAUAUGUUAUGUUCAUGCUUAUGGUAUAUCAUUGUUCUAUAUUAAUUGUGGGAUGGUAUAAACUUACAUUUUCUAGUAAUUAGAUGAUGAAUAAAAUUGGACCAACUAAAAGUGCUAAUCGCAAUUAACCUUGUCAGCCUUCCACCAUAUAAAGCCUUGCAUG